rnacentral:rRNA from 1 species
AACGAACGCUGGCGGCAUGCCUAACACAUGCAAGUCGAACGAGACCUUCGGGUCUAGUGGCGCACGGGUGCGUAACGCGUGGGAACCUGCCCUUAGGUUCGGAAUAACUCCCCGAAAGGGGUGCUAAUACCGGAUAAUGUCUUCGGACCAAAGAUUUAUCGCCUUUGGAUGGGCCCGCGUUGGAUUAGCUAGUUGGUAGGGUAAAAGCCUACCAAGGCGACGAUCCAUAGCUGGUCUGAGAGGAUGAUCAGCCACACUGGGACUGAGACACGGCCCAGACUCCUACGGGAGGCAGCAGUGGGGAAUAUUGGACAAUGGGCGAAAGCCUGAUCCAGCAAUGCCGCGUGAGUGAUGAAGGCCUUAGGGUUGUAAAGCUCUUUUACCCGGGAGGAUAAUGACGGUACCGGGAGAAUAAGCUCCGGCUAACUCCGUG